rnacentral:rRNA from 1 species
UACGUAGGGUGCAGGCGUUAAUCGGAAUUACUGGGCGUAAAGCGUGCGCAGGCGGUUUCUUAAGUCAGCUGUGAAAGCCCCGGGCUUAACCUGGGAACUGCGUUUGAAACUGGGAGACUUGAGUGUGGCAGAGGGGGGUGGAAUUCCACGUGUAGCAGUGAAAUGCGUAGAUAUGUGGAGGAACACCGAUGGCGAAGGCAGCCCCCUGGGUUAACACUGACGCUCAUGCACGAAAGCGUGGGGAGCAAACAGG